UUUGCCUCUGGCUGUGGAUCUUCGUUGGGUCUCGCCUAGCUUGGGUCUCAUCAGGGGUUUUCUUCAGUUCGCCGUGAGUGUCGGCUCCUGCACUCCAUUUUACUUUCGUUCUAUUCAUGGUUGUGCUCCCUUUCGUUCUUCCAUCUCUGGCUGCUCCUUUUCAUUUUAUUCACGACAACUGGUUUCAAGCGUAGCUCUUGCUGCUAUCUGGGGCCUUUCUUGCUAGAUAUAAUUGGAAUGAUAAGGGGAUUGGCUUUGAUGUUUACUUCUCCAUGCCGUGAGGCGAUGCAUCUGUAGCUGCUAUGGAAAUGAUCAAGUUGUUGAGUAAGUAGAUUAUUCAUUCAUUUAUUUGUUUCUCUUAUAUGGAAUAACGUGGGCCGUAGUUUCUGCAUGAAUGCAAUGGUUAUUAACUUGAAUCAAUGGUCUUCAAAAGGUAUGACUAUACUAUUUUAUAUUUGUUUUGUAAAGUAUUUUGAGUGGAGUCUUUUCUCCUUAUUGACACACUUUUGCUUGAUCAUGAUGUGCAAUAUGAUAUUAUCUCCCAUCUAUUAUGGAUGAUUAAUAGUGAAUAGCUCUAGUAAUACUUUUCUUAAAAAAAACUUCAAUGUGCUUAGGCAUCAAAUUCACAGAAUACAACUGGUAAACGUCCAAACAUACUCCUAUCUUUAAAACUUGUUGCUUAUUACAUUACAAAGUAAUUUACUUUCCAUGUUGAGAUUCAAGACAUUCAUAUUUUUGAGUUGUAGAAAAGCCUUUUAUUUUUUAUGUUUAAGUUCUAGAGUGCUUUGAAAGUUUUUGGGUUGUGACAGAAGAAGGUAAUUCUUGGGAUAUAGUUAGUGAGAAUGAUCUGUGAAGAAGUAAAAAUAGAGUCAGACAAAGAAUGUUAUGUCCUCGUUAGACAAGAAGAUAUAGUGGAGGGAAUGGGUUGCUUCGUAUUUACUACCCCCUUGACCAUACUAAGGUAUCUCCACAAUUUAGGAAGCUUUAUACAUGUUAUGCUCUACCUGGGAUUUAACAGUGAUCUGUAUAUCCACAAAACAUUAUUUAUUAUACAGUUCCAUGUUUAUAAUAAAUUGAAAAUAUGGCAUAUGCGAGUCCUAGUGCUUGUUAUUGGAUCCCUUAUUUGGACAAGUCCAACUACGUUUACAUCUUUUAUCAGUUCUAGAUUUCAAGGUUAUUUUUUCAUAUUAUUUGUCAGCUUUAUUUUUCAAAGGUGACAUCUCGUAUGCAGUAAUUUUGUGAGGUGGAGGAUUUGUCUUUGGGUUUCUCUCAUUCCUGCAACAAUACUUUGAGCUUGAAGAGCAUGGCAGCCAAAUUAGGCAGGGCAUCUGGGGCUUUUAUAUUUAUGUGUUAUUACAAAUUUAUGUAAUUGCUGAAAUUUAGGUUGGUUUUGACAUUUUUAGUCUUUCUGACAUUGGAUAUGUGCAUAGGUACACGGAAGCUUGUAAGUAUUAGUUCAUGAGCAAUUGGCGAUCAUUGGAUUUGAGUGUUUUAUUAUUUUUUUCCCCAAAAAAAUGACUACUUAUGGC